GUGGAUGUAGCUCAGCGGUAGAGUCCUGGAUUGUGAUUCCAGUUGUCGUGGGUUCGAACCCCAUCAUCCACCCCA
rnacentral:tRNA from 1 species